CCACGCCUCAUACAUCCGCCAUUUAUACAAGAUUCCACAGUUGACCCCAAGCCCGCGGGAUGAGUAGCCAAGGCACCAAGCUAGCAUUGUCCAGCCUCUUGUCCUACCUAAAGGAAGGUAACUUUCCUUCUUGUAUUCUUUAUAUCUGCCCGAUUUUGGUGAGGAAAUAGAACAAUUGGAAAUGGGUUGAGUCGUCCAAUGGAUUAACUACUUUGAUUCAAGUUUUCAUCUUCCUCGUUUGGUCUGGAUUAAGAAAAGCAAAAAAUAGGAGGCAGUAGAAAAAAUCAGCCAGAAAAGCACAAAGUCUCACAAAGUCUGUUAGAUAAAUAAUGUUCUAUCUGUGUUGUCUAUAUAGAUGGAGACAGUAGAUAAAAUCAGGCAGAAAAGCAAAGAUAAAAAUGGGAUGACCAUGUAGCCAAUGGUUCAAUGAGAUUUGUGUGCAACGAGUGAUUGCAAAUACAAGCUAUUCAUAUUUAAAAAAAACUCUUGAUAAUUCAAAAAGAGGAACACUUUGGGGCUAAUCUGAAACCGCACAUGAAUAUUCGUGCUGCAUAUUUACUUUGGUAGUGAUGCUUGUAUAAUUAGAAAUCAUGUAUACAACAAAUUAUCCUCUUUGAGCCAUGUCCUUGUUUUAUGAAUUUGGUACAAUGCGAGAAAAAUUAUAGGCCUGAGAAAUAUGCAGCCAUAGUUAGGAUACCUCUUGAGACUUGAGAAACGGUAGAAUUCAUUCAGACUAUUAUGCGAGCAUAGCAUUAAACUGCUAGUUUCCAGCGGAAUGAUAGGUACUAUAUUUUCUCGUGUUGUAGUUGCUGCUAUAUAUGAAUUCCCCCAUGGCUGUUGUAUUUUGCUAUAAACUUUUGUUGUACUUGUACUUGUAUAUGGUCCAGUACAACAAUUUUACAAGUGCAUCAUUUUAUCUAUGUGGUCCGGUACAACAAUUCAAGCUUCUAUUUAUGAAAAAAGGGUUGAAUGUAUACCUAUAUGUCAAGCCUUGCUACGUACUGGUUGUAUACUUAUAGCAUUUUAUGCAUUAUUUUUUUAACAGUUGGAUGCCUCUAGCGUGAGGCCAUGUACAAACUGGAAGAACGGUUGGGGCCAUGCACGAAUCGGACCAACAGUUGGGGCUAUGUCAUACCUCCAAUCGGAGGAGCUAAAGUAUGUCCUGAAUGUCUCUUCCUGCAUUAGUUUUUCCAGUUUGCAGAUUGUCUGCGGACUAAACUGUGUAUAGGUUAAUGACCUGUGGCUCGCAGCCGCAACGUCACCUAUGGCUUGCAGUCGGAUGGCAAACCUUGAAGAAACAUGCCUCGUUCACCUGCUCCGAUGGAAAUCUUGGAAGCGUGGAGAGGCCUCGCCGCCCCGCUCAGUAGAAACAAUUUGAAAAUUAUUUGUUGUUGUAUAUGGAAGAUGUGAGAUGGAAAUAGUAUGAUUGAUCGGUUUAUGUUUGGGCAUCGGAGGUGUGACAUGGAAAGACAAAAGUAUUCAUUGCUAUACGAUUGUUGUUGUUU
rnacentral:lncRNA from 1 species